GAGCUACCCUCUGGCUCACCCACUGAUCUCCGCCUCUUCCUGCUCCCACAAAUCACACACCUCACGAGUUCAAGAUGGCGAGUCUUUCUCUUUCUGUCUGCAAUUCUCUCAGAUAUCUCUAAAUGACUUCCUUUAUUAUUUAUCUGAUUUUGGUGAUUUUGUGCAGCCGUUCAAGAGAUACGUUGAGAUUGGGAGGGUAGCUCUUGUCAACUAUGGCAAAGACUACGGAAAGCUCGUUGUCAUUGUUGAUGUCAUCGACCAGAACCGAGUAUGUAGUUCUAUACAUUUCUGUUCAAUUAAAAGAGAAAUCAUAUUCGGGACUCUUUUGAAUUAUAUUGACUUAACAACCAAUCAAACUUGGGUCUUCAAAUUGUUCCGUAAUCUAAUGGAAGAAGGCCUCUACGGGUAACCAAUUGUACCAUAUGUAAUGAUACAAUACUUAUAUGCUAAUGGAGGAUUGCUUCGGUGUUUUUGCAUUGUUCCCUAAUUUUGUUAUUUGGUUGUCUCUAGCAAUAUCUCUGUUUUUACUUACUAUAGAAUUUUAGCAUCAGCGCACUUGUAUUUCUUGAGAGAAACUCUUUGUUAUUGUGUUUGUAAACGUUAUGGGGGUUGGCUUGAUGGUAAAAGUUGGAGACUCACUUCCAGCGUUCUCAUUUUCACCUGGAUAUGGAGAUGGGUUUUUUAGGUUUGUCCAUUUAGCCACUUGGUAGGAUUCCAUCUUGACCACAUUUGAUGGGGUCAGAGUGCAAUGUCUAUGAACUUCUUAGGAAGUGGUGCUCUUUCUAUAUAUUUCAAUGCUUAGUGGUAAUUCUAUUGAGGAGUUGCUGAACGUGACUGAUGGUUGUCUGGAGCUGUUAUUUGUUGGUUUUUGUCUGGAGCUGUUAUUUGUUGGUUUUUGUCUUGACAUGACAGGCUUUAGUUGAUGCCCCAGAUAUGGUGAGGGGCCAAAUGAACUUCAAGAGGCUUU
rnacentral:misc_RNA from 1 species